GGAGUGGUGCAGGUGGGCCAGAGCAUCUGCACCAGCACUGUGGAUUAACUUUUUCUUGUGAGAACAAGUGCCUGAGUGACCUGAUUAACCAGCAUGUGCUAUACUUAUUAAGCAGUGACUAACACAAUGCAAAGGAUUCAUUUAUAUUCACACCCCCGCCCCCCUCCAACUUCACUCUUACACUCUUUAUAUCGCUGCUUUUUUUCUCCCUCAGUCUCUUCCAGUCUGCCUGAAAUGCUUAUACACUUUUUUUUUUUUUUCCCCCUUACUUCUGCUCCUGAGACAACACUGGGCCAUUCCUUUUUUUAUCUUAGUUUGCUGGAUUCUCUUUGCUUUAUAGAUCAUCUUUGUCCAAGAAGCAGGGCAAACAGCCACUCCCGGUGCCAUCCGCACACAGGGUGAUGUGCCCCGUCCCAGGUCCCGUCACAUGAGGCUUUCCCAUGUUAGGUGUGCUGCUGAAUGUGCUAAAGCACUAGAGACAAAGGGGAAAUGGCCAAUAUCCGUGGCCUCAAAUUCAUGGCUCUCUACCAUGAAUCUCUACCUCAGCCCCUUCCUGCAGAACUCCCAUCAAAAGGCAGUAUUUCUGUGCAUCCAGUGCUGGCAGGACAAACUCUUAAAAUCAGACAGCUCUCAGAUCCCCGAGACAGUAUUUGUGGCAUCGGUGCGAUGAAUUCAUCCGCAUUUCAAGGCAGAACGCGUUCGUCUCUACUUUUUCCUGGCUUUUGUUCACCAAAAAAAAAAAAAAAAAAAGCCCACGUUAGCAGAGCCAUGUUACGAACUGCUUCCUGAUUCUGUUGUGUAGCGUUUUGUAGCUACCACGGCUGGCCAAUAGGCUGUAAAUCUUGCCUGGUGUUUUGUAAGAAAGGAAAAAAUAGAAUGAUUUGUGUUGACUUUUGGUCAUCGUGUAUCAUUAUCGAUCCGGGGGAGGGCGGCGAGAAGCGCGUACCGCGGAUCUGUUGCUCGCCACUUCUCCGGGAAGGCGGCGUGAGCCAGCAGUCAGUAGAGGGCAAUAGAGAAAUACAGUUUGUGAUGCCUAAAGGAUUUGAAGCCCUGAUUAUGUGUUUACAGAAAAGAAAAAGAAGAAAAGAAGAGCCAGGAGGAUAGGUUGUUCAGUUUACUACCGGAGACCUGACUGUGACAGACCACCAAGAAAACAAAAUUUAUCAAGAGAGUAAAGAAGACCUUCUGCAGCAUCUGCAAGUCUCUCCUUUUUUCUUCAGAGUUACGUAGGAUAACUUAGCCAGAACUUAUUGAUGUCUGCAUGUUCAGUGGACUCGGGAAUGACUGGGAGAUGCAGAAACAUACUCUUUGGAAGAAACAGAAGAGGAGGCAUUUCAAAGAUCCUGCAGGUGACAAAGGUCCUUGUAAAACAUACAGGUAUGGCUGCUCUGCUCUGGUUUUGCUUCAGAGGAAGAACAAACCUUGAGGAAAAUGGAAAAGGAGCACUGCAUGUUUCUGCUGCCUCUCCUGACUCCAGGGCCAAUGAAGGUGAUGAUCUGCUGACAGAAUAAAUAAAUUGUAGAAAGUGCCAAGACUGUUCAGGCAUUUGCUGUAGUAUCACUCCCACAGGAGGAACCUUCAUCACAGUCUUUCUUCAAGUAUGUUCUCUCCUCUGGGUUCAUUAUUUUGCAGAGGAUGGGUCUUUCUGCACUGCAGGGAUCUAUCUAUCACUGCUGACUCUCUGCAUCUUCUCCACAUGGAAGAAGUAAUUGGAUUGUAUUUUCUGCACACGACCAAGACAGCAGGGAAACCCAGAGCUGUAAGCCAGAGAACCAAGCUGUCUAGAGGGCUGGGCCUGGGCCUCACCAGCACACCUAAUAAUGUCAUCAGGACUACGGACAUGAGGAGGCUGAGGUAUCCCGCACCCAGCAGUGAAACCAUGCCAGUACAAAGAUCAAAACCAAAAGUGACUGGACCUCAGACAAAGGAGGAGAAGGGAAGUAGUUGAGGUCUCCACACAGAUGUCUGAUUACAAUUCCACCAAGGUGGAUUUGAAACUGUGUCACAGCUCAGCCUCUUCUCCCCAGUGCCUGUGGAGCCGGCUUCCAGCGUGACACAUCCCAUCUUUGACUCACCAGGUAAGGCUGGGAUAUCAGUAUGAAAAUUGGGCAAAUACUGACUUCUUUUGACGUACAAUAACUUUGUUGUACCUAUGAUACAAUAUAUUUAUGUAAUGUUUUCAGCUUAUGCAUGACUAUGGGCUGGAAUUAGUAGCUUUUGAAGGAUAAUGCCGAAGAAAGGAAUGUCGGAUACUGUGCUGGGGUUUAGAAAACUGACCACUAAUCUAGUGUUUUCCAAUAAGCCAUCCUGAUUUACAGCACAGAAUAAAAGUUGUCUCAAGAAGUAAGUGAAAUAAACUUGUGCUUCAAGACAUAAACAAGCUUCAUGAAAGGUUGGCAUAGGAACAAUAUCCCCUUCUGACACAUUACUUUACAACUGCAGAAUGUGAAACUGCUUGCAUCAUUCUCUGAAGGAUCUAGUCCUGGCAGUUUUAGAUACUAGGGUCGUGUAGCAACUAACACCUGAAAAAGCAGCCUUUAUAUCUUCCUCCAGCUAAUUAAAUACAGAUUCAAGCCGAGGAGCAAUAUUGCUAAGUGUCCUUUUGUUACCUUGUUAGUCUCUGAAGAUUCUCACAUUUCAGUCGUGACUGACCUAAGUGGCAGCAGAGUUCUCAGCCAUGGAAACCACAUCUGGAGAAAAUUCCACCUCUCAAAAUCACAAAGCUCUUAAGGAUUUACACGGAGUGACAUUAACUACCAGGAUCAAAUAAAUGUAGCGAAAACAUGCUCCCAAUCACAGAGGUCACUGAAGAGCCACACAGGUUUGGCUUACGCUGAGUUUUGCCUUUUUGUACCCAUAUGAAACAUUUUUUUUAACGGUUCCAGAGUGGGGGGACAAAUUUAUAAGAUAAACUAAUGGCUUGAAGUACGCAGCUGAAACAGGCAAAGACUAUUGCUUAUGUCUGCACAGCAUCAAUAGCAGCAUAUUUUGAGUGUGAUUUACCUCCUGUAAUCUUCGGCUUCCCCCCAGACAGGGCCACUGGUGGAGCAGAUGCUGUCAAAAGGAGAACAUCAUGAUGGCUGAGCCCUGCUGGAUGUGUUCAGAGUCUGGAAGGAGGCCAUUCAAGCCUUUUCACCUGUAUUUCAUACCAAGUUUGGAACAAUGUGUUUUAGUUGAUACGGUGGUGUUUGGCCAAAUGUUGGACUCAACGAUCUUGGAGGUCAUUUCCAACCAUAAUGAUUCUAUGAUUCUAUAAAUACAGGUACUCACUGACACACAUCUGUGCCAUUCAGUUUACAGGAUUGUCCAGGUGCUAAGGGUUUGUAUUUUGUAUCCUUUACACAGAUGAAAAAACUCCUUCCAGUCUUUUAAUUUGUAACCUGUGUAACUACACUGUAUUAGGUGUUUAUGUCUGAGAAUUUCAGGAUUUGGCAACAGUUUUCCACGGGACAUGGGAUAGUGCUUACUUCCUUUUUUUUCUUAUUUUCUUUUACUUAUUAAAGACAAAACACAAAUCUGUGCAUUUUAAAGCAGCUCUCUGAAAUUUCAUGGCUUUAUAAUUGCAAUCUAUUGGACUGAAAACUAAAUCUAAAAUUAGACAUAAAAAUCACAAUAUUACCAGUCCUGGAUUUAAGGCUUAUAUCACUGUGAAUUUCUACAAAAAUAUUUAAGAAUCAAUUUAAAUGCUAAUGGACUUGUUUGCCAUAAAACUAGGCAGUAGUCAUAAUAGCUGCUUCAUAGCCAUAGUAUGGGUCUUUCCUUCACUGGACUUCACUUGUGACAUUAAAUUUAGAGAUGUUGCUGUGUAUCAUAGACCUAUGCAAAAGGGAGGGGGGUGGAGGGGGGAGGGGGUGGUUCUCUGAAACCCUGCAGAAAGCAAUUUCUCAAAACCUGACAUUGCUCAUGUGGACUUUGAAAAUCUGAUUGUAGAGCCAGACACAAACUUGUGUAAUCCUGAGGCAGAGUUAGAGGCAGAAGUACUUGUCUCUUCCUGCCCUACCUGGUGAUUUGCUGUGGUCCCCAGCUUUGCCUGUGGGAUGUCCUCUAUAUUCAGACUUCAAAACUGGAUCCGUCUGCCAGAUUUGUGCAGUUCCUUUGGGCUGCACUUUUUGGAGACCACAGGCACUUCCCACUCUGGGUGGUGGUGGGGUUACAGCCAGAGGCUCUUUCCAUUUAAAUUGGGACCAGCUGCAUCAUUACUUCUGAAAAGCACAUUCUGUGACCUCUAUCACACCAUCUAGGGCAGGGUCUGAGACCGUGUGAUAGAGGGGAUGGUGAGGUGGCUCCUUUGCCCAGCACACAACCAGUGACAUUGUUAAACUUUUGAUAUGAGGACCUGGGAACAGCACCUUCCCACACAUUUUUUGAAGCAGUCACCGGCAGUGCUGUACAAGCAAAUGGCCCUGGGUCAGGCCAUCCACACAGACCUGGAGCAUCUCUGUUCACAGUCACUACCAACUCAUUCCUGAGCUGAUGAAAUCAAGUCUGCUGUGAGGCUGUGUCCUGUGUCCAGGCUCUCCGAUGUCAAGAGAUGACUUGGUGUAGGUUGCUGGCUCUCUGCUGUCUGGCUUUCAUCUCUGCUCAAUUUUCAGGCAUAUCCAUUGGAUUCGUCCAUGUGACAAAACUAAGAUGUGGCUAUGGACACACUGUCAUGUAUACAAGCACAAGAUGGUGGUGACCCCUUACCCCAUUUUGGCCUGUGGUGACCAGCACUCAUCCAGCAAUUCCUGGACAUGAGAAAAAGACCUGUGGAUUUCCUUCAGCUCUCUGCCAAUAUCUACAUAAAACUUCUGGAUACAUAAAAACAUGUGGACAGAGCACCAAAAGAAGCACUCUUGACCCUUUAUUUCAUUGUUAGCAAUUGGGAGCACUGUUACUGCUCAGAAUAACAGAGAUAUUCAAAGUGUGCUGGAUGCUGGUGGGCAAGACUCAAUAGCAUGGCUCCAGCCCUGGGUGAGCAUGAUGAGGGACACUGGCACACCUCAACAGGUGAAGAGACUCAGAUCUGGGCUUUGAUGAAUGGUCCUACUCACAGGCUCCUACUCACUGAAGCCCAGAGUCAGAUGUAGACCUCAUGUCUCAAAUUAUCCCUCUUAAAAAUAAUAUUCCUAGGAUGUUUGGACCAAAGAAACAGCAGCAAAUAGCUACAAUUCUGCAAUUAUUUUUCUUAAUGCACACAGUAUUUCAUGACAUCUCAGAAAGGAACCUGGAUGCUAAAUUCCCAUUUCCUUUACAAAGGCUGUUGCAGGAAUGCAUUGGUGGAGUGAUAAUGAAAGCCAGCAGAUCAUUUCAUCAUUUUGACUUCCAGGGUGGCAAUAAUAAAGCUCUGGGCUCCUGUUUCAUGCUGUUUCCAAAUGAACAGCACUUCUUUUGCAGCCACUGAGCUGGACAUUUGCUGCAUCAUGCUGUCCUGGAAGCUCACCAAGAGAUUGAGAACCACUCUGGAUUUUUUCUCCCCCUCACAUCUUUACUAGAUAUAAAAGUUUUACAGGCCAGAUCCUGGAGUAGAAGUUUCCUUGCCACCAUUCCUGACCUGUUAGUCAUGAGCAAGUCCACUUCUUCCAUAACAGAAUCAUGGGAUGCGGUGCGAAGAUAAACAGGAAGCAGCAAAAGCUAUUUUAAUUACCAAAGAUGGAACAUAUUUGGAGGACAGAUAUAAAAUCUACUGAUCUCAGUGGAAGCCUUUUCCCACUGAACUAAGCAGGCUUUUGAUCAGAUCCCCAAUUAAGGAAAAUGGUGUUUCUGCUAUUUAGCUCUUCUUCACUGUAGGCUGAUCAACCUCUGCCUUUGUUGCUCAUAUCAGAGUUGGCCCUCUGACCAGCCUGGGCAGAAACACUGGCUCCUUGACUUGGCUGGUCAUUCUGCCUUUUACUUCACCUCUCCAUUUCCCUGCUGCUCUUCCUGGUUGCUCUAUGCUCUUUUUGCUGACUCCCAGGAGAAGAGACAAAGUUUUACAGAGAGGCAGUGAAGCUGAAAUGGCUGCUACUGAGAAAGAAAUCCCUGGGUCUUCACAGCCCUGCAGAGUUGCUGAAAAGUACAAUAAAGAUGAGUGUGGUGAAGAAUGUAUAAGAAUGGAGAUUGCUUUAAAGGGCCCAUGAGAUUGAUAUUGCUCACAAACCAUGAGACACCACCUCUCUAAGUGGCAGGGACUGUUUCUCCACUCUAAGAGAUCCUUAUCCUCCUCAGGACAUCUGCAGGAGACCAUUUCUGUAAAUUGCAGUUCAAAAGUCUGUCACCUGAUGCGACUCCUGGGGGCAAAAGCAGCACCACUUCAAUGCUAUCCCAGCAUGAAAAAGUUAAUAAAGUACAUGUCACUGAGAAACCAAUUGUACCUGCAAGGUAAGAAAAGGUCACACAUGAAUGCAUGAAAACUGGACAUGCUACAUAAACUGUUGAUUGAAAUCUGCUUUUCACUCGUAUGCGAACACAUUGAGUACAAACAGGAUCAGGACACAAAGAAAAAUAAGACUGAAAAUUUUUUACAUUAAUGAACUUUAGCUAGAUUUUCUUUCACUUUAUUUUUUCCAUGGUACACUGGCUACUUAGAUGUUAGGUGGGCUGGAGAUACUUUCUCAUUUUUCUAGCAAUUAAAAUACUGAGACCAAUGUUAUGUACAAAAGAAAUAAAAUAAUUUGGGUUACUGGCUUCUUUCCUGAUGUAAAAUUCUGGAAGAAUUUGAUGGCCUCUCCUCUGAAUUUCAAAGCAGAUGUUACUUGGUGCCAGCAGUUGGAUCAGUCUGUGGUGUAAAUGAUGGUGAGCACAGUGACAGUGCUGUUGAUUUCAUUACGGCAGCUCCUAUAACACUGUGUCAUGUGCUUUAUGGUCUUAAAAAUAACAAUUGCAUAAGCACAGCCUGCAGUGCCAGAAGUCAUAUUAUCUCCAGGACAAAGAGAGAUGCAUAUGGACUUAAUGAAGAGAAAGUGCAGCAUUGGUUAAGACUGUAAAUGAAAUAGGAAAUUAUUUCAUCUAGAGGAGCAUAUUGGGUGCCAUUGCUUUGUUAUCUGAUUUCCUGUUGCACUAGUAGAGACAGCGUGUUUUAAUUAAGGUUUUAUAAAGACUUCAUUGAGAAAAGAUUUAUGGAACCAGAUUCUGUUAUUGCAGUUCUAUCAAAACCAAAGGGCUGUGUGGAAUUGCCUAAAAUUUUCCAGAAUUUCCUUUUAAAAGCAUGCUGGUGAAAAGCUAUGAUUAAAAUAUGCAAACAUAGCCUUUCCAUAUAGUCAUAUGACACUUCUGUCAUCCUGAUUUGAAAUAAUUUUUUGUCUUUUUAACAAAUUUCAUGUUGUAUAAUAUAGUAGAUUGCACAUAGUCAGAAGCAUAUUCAUAGCACUCCAAUUUGCCCUUUGUAUGUUUUGCACAUUAUACAGUGCAAUAUAAUGCAAAACGAGAAG